UAUAUCGCUGAGGCUGCCAUUCUGUUUGUCUGCUCCUGUCGCCUUCUACACACGUGCAAGUUUGUUCGCGUACGCUCCGCGGUUGAAGAUAUUCUUUCUGUGCCCGCGAAUAUUCCGGCAACGGUCGGAAAACCGAGGGAAGUGACACAAGGCGUGUAGUGCGGUUGCGUGGCGUGACAACUCGGGGAAGGAACAGCAGGGCGAAACAUUUUCCCAUUUCCCAGCGAACGAGAGGUCAUGUGACCAGGAGAGGAUGAGAGCCGUGCUGGAGGAGGGCAGGUCAUGUGACCAUCAGAGGAGGACAGUGAUGUGAUUGGUCAAGGCCAUUUUGGAGUAACUUCUUGAAGCAACCAAAAGCUGAUGGCCACCAGCAUUCCAGGUAUGAAUCGCUCUCUCCUUACCUGUGAUGUGCAAGCACUCCAGAGGUAGACACAUGCACCCAGCCCCACGCUGAGCACGUUGGUUGAUGACCAGUCCACCAGGUUCAGAUAGAAGUCAUCCUGGAGCUCGGGCGCAUCCAGUACCUGUGGACAUGGCAGAGAAGUUGCAUAGAAGACCAGUUUUGCAAGAAACAGGCCGCAAGCCAUAAUGAUGCUCAAUGAUCCUUGUGGCACACGCAAAAGGUGCCACAUCUGCAAGCCUUCUGAAUUUCACUCACCUUAGCAUCUUCUAUACCGGCUCCCAGUAGCUCAUUUUUGAUCA